rnacentral:rRNA from 1 species
AACGAACGCUGGCGGCAUGCCUAACACAUGCAAGUCGAACGAGACCUUCGGGUCUAGUGGCGCACGGGUGCGUAACGCGUGGGAAUCUGCCCUUUGCUUCGGAAUAACAGUUAGAAAUGACUGCUAAUACCGGAUGAUGUCUUCGGACCAAAGAUUUAUCGGCAAAGGAUGAGCCCGCGUAGGAUUAGGUAGUUGGUGGGUAAGGCCUACCAAGCCGACGAUCCUUAGCUGGUCUGAGAGGAUGAUCAGCCACACUGGGACUGAGACACGGCCCAGACUCCUACGGGAGGCAGCAGUGGGGAAUAUUGGACAAUGGGCGCAAGCCUGAUCCAGCAAUGCCGCGUGAGUGAUGAAGGCCUUCGGUCGUAAG